rnacentral:lncRNA from 1 species
GAGCGGAGCCCACGUCGUGUCCACUCUAUCGCGCGUUGUGCGUAUAUAUGUGCAUCUAUUUUUUUUAAGCUAUAAAUAAGGUCGGAGAUUGAUCCUCACAGGUUGACAGCAGAUCGCAUUAGGGCUACCCGGCUGCUGCUCGACCGGCCGGCGAUGGCGGCGGCCCUUCGGUGUGUGGCAAGGAGGCUCGUCGGCGAGGAAGUGUCGCCACAGGUGGUGUCGGGGAAGGUUGCGACCAGUGUCUUGACGCCAUCGUAUCGCCGCUUCAGCUCCGGCCCCGCAACAAGCGGGCUGGCGCGAGCCGCGCAGGAGAAGAAAGACAACCCAGAGCUGAAAGAAAAGCUCAAGCGUUUCCGCGUCAUGUAAGUAUUAAUUACUUCCUUCGUCUCAUAGUAGUAUAAGACAUUUUUAGCAGUAUAUAUUAGUAUCAAAAAGAUCUUACAUUAUGUGAUGAAGGGGGUAUUUCCUGCUGGAUGCAAUAUUUGCUGAUAUACCUCAACACACAACGACACACUUGACAAUUUGUCAAGAGUUACCCUAAACCCUUUUUUUUAGAAAAGGAGGUUAAACCCCAACAUACAUCUAUCUUUAUUAAUUAUUCAAUAUAGGUCUAACAAAAACAUACAUCAAACCAUCCGAAGUCACCACUCACACCUACAAAACUUGAUAAUGUGGAGUGCUCUCACUCCCCAUAUCUAAAACCGGAGUCAUCACCGAUCCAUCCGCAUAACGUAUCGGAACCCACAGUCGGUGCAACAAACCUAAAGCGUACACCACAUGCACAUAUUUUAGAAGCCGUCAUCAUCGUCGGACCGUUGACCCAUCUUCAGGAGAGAGAUGGGUAUCAUCCUUGUCAGUCUGUCAUCCGUCGACGCCCCCACGACGCCACCGCCCCGCGCUCGUCAGUCCAGACGCGAAGAUUCUGGAAGAUCUGUCGUGUGUAGCACUUGCCAACCAGGCAUGACACAGCGUAGCACCUGUCGGCCAGGCAUGACUUGACAUCUCCACCGAAAGCUCCGUGCAAGAUGAAGCCGCUCCACCUCCUGCCUCUGUCUUCCAGCUCUGCUCCACAGACGAUGCUCCCAAGAAAAAAACGACAUCGCAGUACCGCCAUCGUCCGGUAUGAAAGACCAGAUCCUAGGGUUUCCCCCAGAGCAGCACGAGUGGGUCGACAAUGGUUACACGACGAUGCCUUCAUCAAGGUAACGACACAGAACUUCGCCAUCGACUCGGUUUUCACCGGCAACUAUGUCUUCCCGGCUCAUAGCCAGAACUAGAUGGCGGAUCUCGAGAUCUGACCAUCCAGCAUCUCGAGAACCGACAACCUUCGACGGAGGAGAUACAGGGAGGGCGGGCCGCCACCCCAUCCCAACUCGCCGGAUGAGCUUCAGUGUUAGAGGGUCCAGAUUGGGUCCCCACGGGCGCCACAACCUUGACCGCUCGGAGCCAAGCGUCGGUUAGCCGCCGACCACACGUCGUAUCCCUAUCCCACAAGCGAGCGGCAGCCAGAGAGCGUCCCGCCGAUGCAUACAACCAUAUUAGUAUGAAUAUCAAGAUAAACAUGCUCUUCAGAAUUUUUUAAAUGAGUAUCAAGAUAUUUCUUGACGAGUAUUUCCACCACACAUCAAACUUCAUCAUCAAUAAAUGAGGAAAAACCCGUGUGCAUCACGUGUCAAUUCUAGUAAUUGAACUAGGAUCGUUAGUCUGCACAACCGCAUGCCCAACCACUGAACCAAGGCUCUCUUUGCAGUUACCCUAAACCCUAAGUGAUACUUUGUAAGUAGAAGAAAAACGCAACAUGUAACUCUUGACAAAUUCUGAAAACAGUCACAAAUAAAUAAAUAAUAGUAGCAUGAAUCUCAGUGCAAUCAGGAUUUGUUUUUUUUUUUCUAAUAGUGUUUUGAGGAAAAAAUAAUCAUCCCACUCAUAUAUUUCUCAAUCUUGAUGUGCAUGUAGGUCCAUGGAGCCGAGGACCAAAAGAGAAAUCAGGAACCUCGUGAUUCUUACUGCCACUCUCGGUGGUUUGGUAUAUGCUGAAAAACGCAUCAAAGAUUCUAGAUACUAGUUUCGACAUCAAGUUUGAUAGGAGAUUCUUUAAUUUGGAUUUGUAAAUAAGUCCCAGUAGCGUCGUGUUUGACAUGCAAUCGGUGUCGUGUUGGAUGCAAUGCUAAGUCUGUGAUCUCCUAUGUAAG